rnacentral:rRNA from 1 species
GAUGAACGCUAGCGGGAGGCCUAACACAUGCAAGCCGAGCGGGAUUUGUUGGUUAGCUUGCUAACUAACAAUGAGAGCGGCGUACGGGUGCGUAGCACGUGUGCAACCUGCCUUUAUCUGGGGGAUAGCCUUUCGAAAGGAAGAUUAAUACCCCAUAACAUAUUGAUUGGCAUCAGUUAAUAUUGAAAGCUCCGGCGGAUAGAGAUGGGCACGCGUAAGAUUAGCUAGUUGGUGAGGUAACGGCUCACCAAGGCUGCGAUCUUUAGGGGGCCUGAGAGGGUGAUCCCCCACACUGGUACUGCGACACGGACCAGACUCCUACGGGAGGCAGCAGUGAGGAAUAUUGGACAAUGGGUGAGAGCCUGAUCCAGCCAUCCCGCGUGAAGGACUAAGGACCUAUGGUUUGUAAACUUCUUUUAUACAGGGAUAAACCUACUCUCGUGAGGGUAGCUGAAGGUACUGUAUGAAUAAGCACCGGCUAACUCCGUG